rnacentral:ncRNA from 1 species
AGUACGUGGCGAGGCAGUGACCCCCGGAGUACCACGGUCACCGUUCCCGGAACCUCGGGAGCACUCCGGGACGAGCCAGUGGUGAGACCGACGCCCCGGAAC